AUCUAAUCGCCCUGACACAUUUACUUUGAAAUGCCAAUACCCAAAUAUAUGAGCAAACACUCAAUGAAUAUAUAGUUGGUAACACACUGUUACUGAAACAAUUUGUAUUAAGGAAAAUAAAAGUAAUUCCUGACAGAUCAAAAAUGGGUGCAUGCUUCAGCAACUGUAAUCCGUGCGCUUGUCUUCCUUGCUGUUGUUGCUGCAACGAUGACAGCAACUAUAAUGACGGAGGCGGCGGAGUUGUUAUUAACGACAACAAUCCUGGAGGAGGAACUGUCGUUGUUAACCAAGGAUAGCAUAACAACUUCACAGGACUUCUAGCUUAUCGUUACUGAUGAAUUAGUCAAAUCAAUCAUAGUUCUUAACUUAUACUUAUUUCAAUGAUAACUUCUUGAAUAUUUACUGUAUGCAAUUUUUAAAUUGCAUUUCAUGUAAUUUAAAAUAUUUUCGGAUAACUCAAUUUUUAAAUUUAUACCGAUUGUAAAUUUAUUUUGAGUGAUUUCAAUCACGGUUCUAGGUAUCAGUAAAUUUUCGUCUAAGUGAUAAUGGAAGGGAUCAAAGUACUGUUGAUUUUUAAUCUUUAAGAAACGUGAUAGUUUUUAUCAUAUAAUGUAAUGUGUAACAAAAAAUACAUGUAUUAUGUUUGUUUGUGUAUCAAAUAAAUAUAGCUAUAAUCUUUA